AACGAACGCUGGCGGCACGCUUAACACAUGCAAGUCGAACGGAGGUACUUGUACCUCAGUGGCAAACGGGUGAGUAACACGUGGGAAUCUACCUUUCGGUGGGGGAUAACUGGGGGAAACUUCAGCUAAUACCGCAUGCGCUCAGAAAUGAGGAAAGAUUUAUCGCCGAGAGAGGAGCCCGCGUCAGAUUAGGUAGUUGGUGGGGUAAUGGCCUACCAAGCCUGCGAUCUGUAGCUGGUCUGAGAGGAUGAUCAGCCACACUGGGAUUGAGAGACGGCCCAGACUCCUACGGGAGGCAGCAGUGGGGAAUAUUGGACAAUGGGGGAAACCCUGAUCCAGCGAUGCCGCGUGGAUGAAGAAGGCCUUCGGGUUGUAAAGUCCUUUCACCCGUGAAGAUAAUGACGGUAGCGGGAGAAGAAGCCCCGGCUAACUCUGUGCCAGCAGCCGCGGUAAAAC
rnacentral:rRNA from 1 species